AAGUCGUAACAAGGUUUCCGUAGGUGAACCUGCGGAAGGAUCAUUAACACGUAUCCAACGUUAAACCCCCUGUGAACUUUAAAUCCUGCUCCGGAAACUUUUCAAACAGCAAUCCCAGUAAAUCAUUGUUGAACAGUUUUGAUUUGGGACCUCUGGUUGAAGAGCGUACGUUGAGACGGUUGAGAUAGGGGCAUGGCUUCCCGAAUCAUUCAUCAAAUGAAAGCGUUGACGAAUGUGAAAGGAUAACUUCUCGGUACUAACUUUAUUUCACCUGCCGCGAAAGCCGCAGGAACAAAACGAACAACUGUUAACAAUGGAUAUCUUGGUUCUC
rnacentral:misc_RNA from 1 species